rnacentral:rRNA from 1 species
CCUACGGGAGGCAGCAGUGAGGAAUAUUGGUCAAUGGGCUUACGCCUGAACCAGCCAAGUCGCGUGAGGGAAGACUGCCCUAUGGGUUGUAAACCUCUUUUGUCAGGGAGCAACGCCGGCUACGUGUAGCCGGACUGAGAGUACCUGAAGAAAAAGCAUCGGCUAACUCCGUGCCAGCAGACGCGAUAAUACGGAGGAUGCGAGCGUUAUCCGGAGUUAUUGGGUUUAAAGGGUGCGUAGGCGGAAUGCCAAGUCAGCGGUAAAAUCGCGGGGCUCAACCUCGCUCCGCCGUUGAAACUGGCGUUCUUGAGUGGGCGAGAAGUAUGCGGAAUGCGUGGUGUAGCGGUGAAAUGCAUAGAUAUCACGCAGAACUCCGAUUGCGAAGGCAGCAUACCGGCGCCCAACUGACGCUGAAGCACGAAAGCGUGGGUAUCGAACAGGAUUAGAUACCCUGGUAGU